GAUCCUGCUCAGGAUGAACGCUAGCUACAGGCUUAACACAUGCAAGUCGAGGGGCAGCAUGGACUCAGCUUCACUGGGUUUGAUGGCGACCGGCGCACGGGUGAGUAACGCGUAUCCAACCUGCCCUUUACUCCGGGAUAGUCUCCUGAAAGGGAGUUUAAUACCGGAUGUGUUUGUCUUUCCGCAUGGGAGCGACAAAUAAAGAUUGAUUGGUAAAGGAUGGGGAUGCGUCCCAUUAG
rnacentral:rRNA from 1 species